CUGAGGACGAGAGCCAGACUCAGAGGAGAGAAGAUGGUCUCCUCCCUUUCACCAAGCCGUGAACAUCUCCUUGUCUCGUGCGGGUUCAGCAGAUCCCGCUGGAUUUGGAGCCACGCGGAUUCGGUUGCGGGAGAGCCCUGCUCAGAGGAUCAGGUGCAGGGAGCUGUUUCUGAUUCCUGUCCCUUGCUGCCACGUGACUCUGGACAAGCCUCGGCGGAGACUUGAAGACUUCUGAGCAGGGAACUGGGCUCCGUCAUGUUGGCCAAGGGUGUGGCCAAGGCCUGACUGAGGGAGGCAGUGACCUCAGCUGCCAAGCUCUGUCACACCUACAGUGAGGGCCAUCUCUGCCUGGCUCCCAGAACCAGCAGGUGCUGCGUCUCUACUCACCAGCUGAGUGCUCUGUUCCCGGAGUCCUCCCACGCUGUCUGGGUCCUCCCACACUGUCUGCCCACGCUGUCGCUUUUGCCUGGCGUGGCCGCUUCUACCUCUCAUUACCCAUCAAAAUCCUUUCCAUGCUUCAGGGCCGCCUCUGUGACGACAGAACUGGGUGCUGGAAACGCAGGACCAGAGAUGCUGCCCGCCCUCCAGGUGUGCAGUGGCUGAGGGGCUCUCCUCACGGAUGUCACCCUCAGUGCCCGGUCUUGUGUUGCCUUUGCCCAUUCAGAACCUGCUGUCUGUAAGAGGAGGGCCUAAAACUCUGGGAGUCAAGAGAGGGCUUACUGCAGUGGUGACCUACAAGUCAAGAGAGCAGAUGCUCGCCAGGUCUCUGUGCAGCUCAAGAGCAGUUACCGUUCCUGAGAGCCGUGAGGUACUGAACCAGCCACAGUGCCACAGGUUUCCAUCCCAUCGGCCACGGCAUGGACAGUGCCCGCUGCCUGGCACCAGAGCCACACCAUACCUAGGGUGGAAUGGGAGCUGUAGCUGCUGGCCUACACCACAGCCACAGCAAUGUGGGAUCUGAGCUGUGUCUGCGACCUACACCACAGCUCACAGCACCGUUGGAUCCUUAACCUACUGAGUGAGGCCAGGGAUCGAACCUACAUCCUCAUGGAUACCAGUUGGGUUCGUAACCUGCUGAGCCAUAGUAGGAACUCUAAAGCUUUUGAAAAAUUAUGUAACCUGCCUGUAAUUUGUGGCUAGUGACGCCACGGUGUAUUCCUCUAAACGGCGGAGCUCAGAAAACUCUCAAGGGCAACAAAGGGGGAGAGUUUACCAAGGUCACACUGUGUGUUGGUGGUUGAACUGGGUCAGUGUUCCACUGGUGGUUUUUCCCGGUCACUGCUAGCAGGGUAUUGAUGCAGUAACCAGCCCUACGGCCAGCCCACCGUGUCCCUUGCCCCAGUGGCAGGAAAGAGUGCCCAGUGGAUUAGAGCAUACACUUUGGAGUCAAACAGACCUAUGUUCAAAUCACAGCUCCCAAGCUAACUUGCUGGCUGACCUUGAGAACGACCCUUCCUCUCUCUGAGCCUAUGUCCUCUUCUGCAAAAUGGAACAGUAACCUCGCUCAUUUCCUGGGGUUGCUGGAGGAGUGAGUGCGAGAAGGCACAUGGGGUGUCUGUCCAGCGAGGCCACCCAGUUGAUGUGGACUAAGCCGUGACCUUGUCUCUGAAAUGAUCCAUGAGCUGAAAGAGCUUUGCAGCUGCCGUUCCACAUAAAGAAGCCCUGAAAUCUGCUUCACGGCGAUGACGUAGGCUGGGAAGGAGGCCAGAGGCCGCAGGGUGUCUGACUCUGGAAGAGACCCACACGCAAAUAGGCACCUCGCACCUGGCCACACACACCCUUGUGAGACGUAGGUGCACACAUUGUGUACACGUGCAUGUGCACAGGGGGAUGCUCACACAGGAUGCGUGCCGUAGAUAUGCUCACAUAUAGAUAUGCACAUGCUCACACGUCUGCGUGUGCCCACACGCGUGCGCACCCACACUUCCCGUGUACACAUACUUCCUCCUCUUUGCCUGGUUAACACUUACUCCUUCCGCCUCCACCCGCAGGUCACUGCCUGGGGGCAGCCGCCCUGAGCCCCUCAGCUUGUGUUCCCUUGGCCUCCUGCAUUUUCCCCCUUCCGUUUGCAUCUUAAUUGUCAUUGAACAAUUGUGUAACAAGCUGCUUAAUUCUGGAUUUUCUACUAGACUCUUAUCUCUGCAGAGGGCAGGGACAAAGCCUGACUGUUCUCCAAUGAUGGAAAGCUCCUAGCACAGCCUAGCACAUAGUAGGCCUUUGACAGAUACGUGCCAUUGUUUUUUUUUUUUUUUUUUCUUUUUCAAGGGCUGCAUCUGUGGCACAUGGAGGUUUCCAGGCUAGGAGUCAAAACAAAGCUGCAGCUGCCAGCCUAUGCCACAAGCCACGGUAACGCGGGAUCCCAGCUGCGUCUGUGACCUACACCACAGCAACAGCAAUGCCGGAUCCUUAACCCACUGAGCAAGGCCAGGGAUCAAACCCCCAUCCUCAUGGAUCCUGGUCACAGUGCGACUUCCGACAAACAUGCGCCAUUGAUUGAACAGAACCUCAGGGAUCCCUUUUGGGUGCAGGCAGGAGAGCAGCCUCUUCACUGUGGGCUGCCUUGUACGGAUUUCUGGCCUUGGGUCUGUGGGAGGUUUUAGGCUCAGCCAGAGAAACCCACCCUCACAAUGUUGCGGAGGCUGGCGAGGAAGAAAACGCAGUCGCCAGGAAAUCGCGUGUCAGUGGUGAAGGGAUGUCCAGGAAGCCCGAGGGCAGAGAGCUCCUUGUCGCUUCUCGCUUGCUUUCCCCCGGGAGGCGAGGGACACCACAACUGCCCCAGGUGACAAGGCUGACCAGUCGCUGCCUGGGCUGGCACAGGGCGGCCUCCCUUGCCUCAGGCCAGAUGAGGGCGGUAAGCAGGCGUCUUCAGGGCAGAGAGAGGGCGGAGGAUGAUGCUCUGGUGGGAGUGAGAUGCAGUGCUGGGUGGCUGGAGGAGAUUUCCUUCCUUUAUUUAUCAAAGGAGUACUUACGGACACCUUCUAAGUGCCAGGCACUGUGCCAGCUGCUGGAGAUACAGGAGAAAGUGAGUUAUGUGUGGCCUUGGACCUCCGGGUGCUCAAAUCUUACGGGCGAUGUGGAUAAGAAACCAGACCAUCCCCAUGCAGUGUGGUCCAGGCUCCCCAGGGGAGCUGAGACGCAGGCCUCCUAAGGAGGGUGGGAGUGGCUUAUGGAGGAGAGGGUUUCUGAGCUAAGGCCUAGAGAAGGAGCCAGGCCAGGAGACGCGGAAAGAGUGCUGUGAGUGGAGAGAAGGGUUUGUGGGCCGGCCCCAAAGGGAGAGAGGGCACAUGGCAGGAAUCCAGCGUGGCAGUGGCUGGCUCGUCCCGGUGGGGUGGCCAUAAGCUGGGGAGGAGCGGCAGCCAUCAAAGGAGGCUGAGCAUCUGGGAGCAGUGAGGUCCUGCAACCUGAAGAGAGGGGACAUGGGGAAGGAGCCUUGCUGUUCACUGGACAUGACCUUGCCUUCUCUGGGCCUGUUUUCUCACCUGUCACGUGGACAGGGGGGCUCGGUGACGGCCCACAUACUUUCCCAAGGCUGCUGUCUAAGCUCCCGUCAGGCCGGGUGAACCCUGUGCGUCCCCCCUUCCCCACCCCUGUGCUCUCUGCCGCCUCCCAUCCUGCCCCACAUCCUCUCUGUCCUGUGCCGUCCACCCUGGCCUCUUCCUCUGCCACUCCUCAGAAGCCGUGUCUCGUAGGAGCACCUCCUUGAUGGGGUGAUCAUGUCACCCACUUUUCCAUCCUCGUCCUGUGCCCUUCUCCGCACCGCACCUGAACUUCUCUCUCCAGCUCCCAGAGCUGUUUCUUGUCUGGAAUUCUCAGCCUCCUCCCUCCCCUCACCACGUCUCACUUUUGUCUUGCCAAUCCUUCCAGUUCCAGCUAAGCCCUUUCUUCAGCGAAGCCCUCCUCUAGGGGCCCAGCGCCUGCCCCGUGCUGUGUUAACACUCUGCCUCCUUCCCAGCGCUCGCAGGGCGGUACGAACGUGGUCGUGUGUGAUGACGGAUGCCCACCCCUUCCGAGACAGAAGCAGGGGCAGGGGGCGAAGCACAUGUUUAGUAGGUUCUGGGUGGUGAGUUGAGUGGAUAAGUGGCUGUCAGUGGAUUUAAUGCCUUUCAUACAUAUAUAAGUUAUUAACUAUGCUCAGGCCAGGACUGUAAACUGAAACUUCGUUCAUCAGUUCACAAAGUAGAGUGACAUGUUUUGCCACUAGAGGGCAUCGUGAAACCGUAAAGUUGGGGGUGAGCCUCAGGGACCCUGGCCUCUUUUUGAGUUGACGUGUAAAGUUCAGUCACUUUGUAUUCUGUGUCCACUCAGGACACAUCAAUUAAAAUUUUAAAAAAUGUGUAGACCCUUAUGAGUUGGAAGGCUUGCCAGAGCCUGUUUGGUCCCACCCUGGACACUUGAGACCUGAGGGAGAGUGAGUUCCCCUGCCUUCAUUGGCCCCAGGACACCGAUUUGUUCCUGGCUGUGGGAAAAUCCCUCUUUUUCAAUAUUCCUUUUUUCCUAUUAUGUAGGAGAAACUGUUCUAACUCCUGUCUCUUUCAAUCCAUCCAAUAAAUAUUUACUGACUUUCCACCGUGCGAUGGGCACUGUGUUAGGUGCUAGUAUUUCUAGUUUGCAAAACAGGCCUCUGUCUCAUGGAGUCCACUGUCUGGUUGGGAAAAUGAAUAUUGAAAAGUAAUAUAUAGAUACUAUCUGUGAUUAGUGCAAAAUGAAAGUCAGAGCCUGAGGACAGGACAUAACAGAGCUCCUGCCUCUUUCUUGAGCUCCCUCUUGGAGGAGGGCCAUUUGGCAGAAACCCAGAGGCUGAGCAGCCACUGGCAGAGGGAUCAGAAGGCCAGGUUUCCACCCUGGAGUUCCCUGGUGGCCUGCUGGUUCAGGAUCUGCUAUUAUCACUGCUGUGGCUCACAUUUGAUCCCUGGCCUGGGAAUUUCUGCAUGCCAGAGGGGUGACCAAAAAAAAAAAAAAAA
rnacentral:lncRNA from 1 species